rnacentral:rRNA from 2 species
UCAACGGAGAGUUUGAUCCUGGCUCAGGACGAACGCUGGCGGCGUGCUUAACACAUGCAAGUCGAGCGGUAAGGCC